CUGAAAGAAAUCAUUGGGCGGGCUUAUUAAAGUCCUGCGGCAGCCACAGUUAACAGAUUUUCUCUUUCUUUUUGUCAGAGCAUUUGAUUUAUUGAUUGCUGUUGAGAUGUUAAGAGAAUUUCAAUAAAUAUAUCAAACAUGUUUUGAAGAAGAUUACCAACUCUGGCUUUAAAAGGUGAUAAUUGUCAUUGUUGUUUACGGCUUGUUUCCGCUGCCUUUCAAGUGGCCACAAAUCAAUUAUUGCAGGUUUAAUAAAAGAUGCCAAAGUAACCCCAUCUAAAUUAUUGUCUCAACACAAGCUGCCAUACAAAAACUCUGCUAAAAAGACUAAAAUGUAGCUUUAAAUCAGUAAAUAAUGGAUUAAUGAAUAAGUAAACAAGACUGCAAAUCUUACACGGCAUUAGAUGCCAACUUUCGGUACUCAACAGACACAUUUCUGAUGGUACCAAACAGUAUUGAGGUGUGAUAUCAGCUCUUUGUUCUGCAGGUAUUGUAAAUUUGAUCUUUUUUUCUCUUACUUAGCAUCAUUCACAUUGUUGCUGUGAGCAUAAUAACACCUCUCCAGCUUCAGUUCAAUGCAGAGACUCAGUGAGGGAUU